AUUAGUAUUAGUUAGGUUCUUGAAAAUUAAAGAAUUUGGCGGUAUUUUAGACUUUUCAGAGGAACUUGUCCUGUAAUUGAUAACCCACGAUUUAAUUUACUUUUUUUUUUAGUUUAUAUAUCGUCGUUAUUAAAAAUUUUAAAAGAAUUUAUAAUUUUUAUAAUUUUUAAUUAAAAAAUAAAUCAGAUCAAGAUGUAGUUAAUAAUAAAGUAGAGAUGAGUUACAUUAAGUUUAUAUUAGGAAAUUUAUUAUGAUAAUAAAUUGAAUAUGGAUUUGAAAGUAAUUUAAAUAAAUUAAUUUAAAUGAUUAAG
rnacentral:rRNA from 1 species